rnacentral:rRNA from 1 species
UGCAACAACUAAAUGCACUUCCACUGACGCUAAGCAGGGCUGAGCCUGGCCAGUACCUGGAUGAGAGACCUCCUGGGGAAAACUAAGGUUGCUGCUGGAA